GGCCAACCGGGAACUGCAUUGAGACUGCCCACUGGAGUUUGGCAGAGGGGGGUGGAAUUCCACGUGUAGCAAGUGAAAUGCGUACAGAUGUGGAGGAACACCGAUGGCGAAGGCAGCCCCCUGGGCCCACUACUGACGCUCAUGCACGAAAGCGUGGGGAGCAAACAGGAUUAGAUACCCUGGUAUCCCGCCCUAACGAUGUACUAGGUGUUGG
rnacentral:rRNA from 1 species